GGUUCGAUUAUGGCUCAGAUUGAACGCUGGCGGGAUGCUUUACACAUGCAAGUCAACCCCGGCGGCAGCACGGACUUCGGUCUGGUGGCGAGUGGCGAACAGGUGAGUAAUGUAUCAGACACAUUGCUAUUAGCGGGGGAUAACUACGGCGUAGCUAAUACCGCAUACGCCCUUCGGGGAAAGCGGGGGACCUUCGGGCCUCGCCACUAUUAGAGCGGCCGAUAUCCGGAUUAGCUAGUUGGUGGGAGUAACGGCUCACCAAGGCGACGAUCCGUAGCUGGUUUGAGAGGACGACCAGUCACACUGGGACUGAGACACGGCCCAGACUCCUACGGGAGGCAGCAGUGGGGAAUUUUGGACAAUGGGGAAACCUGAUCCAGCCAUCCCGCGUGUGCGAUGAAGGCCUUCGGGUUGUAAAGCACUUUUUGGCAGGGAAAGAAACGGCACGGGAUAAUGCGUUGCAACUGACGAAACACCUGCGGGAAUAAGCACCGGCUAACUGCAUUUUAGCAGCCGCGGUAAUACGUAGGAAUUAAGCGUUAAUCGGAAUUACUGGGCGUAAAAGCGUGCGCAGGCGGUUCGGAAAGAAAGAUGUGAAAUCCCAGAGCUUAACUUUGAGGCUGGCGCAUACCAGGUGAAGUGUGGCUAGGUGGAAUUUUUGUCGUAGCAUUGAGAAAUGCGUGAUGUGCGGAGAGACACGCGAUAAGGCGAAAGGCAGCCUCCUGGGAUAACGCUGACGCUCCUGUGCACGAAAGCGUGGGAGCAAACAGGAUUAGAUACCCUGGUAGUCCACGCCCUAAACGAUGUCAACUAGCUGUUGGGGCCUUCAGGCCUUGGUAGCGCAGCUAACGCGUGAAGUUGACCGCCUGGGAAGUACGGUCGCAAGAUUAAAACUCAAAGGAAUUGACGGGGACCCGCACAAGCGGUGGAUGAUGUCGUUAAUUCGAUGCAACGCCGAAAAACCUUACCUACCCUUGGCUCUUAGAAUCCGAAAGGUGGGAGUGCUCGCAAGAGAACCGGGUUCACAGGUGCUGCAUGGCUGUCGUCAGCUCGUGUCGUGAGAUGUUGGGUUAAGUCCCGCAACGAGCGCAACCCUUGUCAUUAGUUGCUACGAAGAGGCACUCGUGAGACUGCGGUGACAAACCGGAGGAAGGUGGGGAUGACGUCAGUCUCUGGCCUUAUGGUAGGGCUUCACACGUCAUACAAUGGUCGGGACAGAGGGUCGCCAACCCCGCGAGGGAGCCAAUCCCAGGAAACCCGAUCGUAGUCCGGAUCGCAGUCUGCAACUCGACUGCGUGAAGUCGGAAUCGCUAGUAAUCGCGGAUCAGCAUGUCGCGGUGAAUACGUUCCCGGGUCUUGUACACACCGCCCGUCACACCAUGGGAGUGGGUUUUACCGAAGUAGUUAGCCUAACCGUAAGGAGGGCGAUUACAUUAGGAUUCAUGACUGGGGUGAAGUCGUAACAAGGUAA
rnacentral:rRNA from 1 species